UACUAUCUUUUAUGUUUGUUUAUGUACAAAACCAGUGGUCCAAUAAUAAAUAUUUACAACCAAAGCCUCUCUUCGUUAUCUUCCUCUUCCACGUAGAGUAGGUUUCAGUCGGUUCAGUCUCCUCUGAGAAAUCAAAGUGACCCUUUCGGUUUCCAUGGAGCAGUGAAUCUUCUUCUACCUCUACAUCUCUCCAUCUUAAGUCUUUGGAACAUUAAUGUUUCAGAAUCCUAACAAUUCAGUUAUUCCUUCCUAUAUAACCUCAUCGUAAAAACUGAAACUUCACAUCUCAAAUCCAGUAAUCACCAUUACAGAUUUAGAGAAAUCUUCCAACCCUUUCUGUCAAGUGACAGUCUCACCAGAAGACGCCAAUUAAUUAAUUAAUUUGUUUGAUCUUCUUCAUCCUAGAAAGACAAAGUCCUUCGUGGAUUAGAUCGGGACGGCUAUUGCAGCUUCGAUUGGCGGAAGAGCUAUCUGACUCUGAUCCAAAAAAUUCCGGAGGCGGAUCAUCAGAAUCAUCACUGCCUGUUACCCUUCCUCUUGAUUCAUACGCAAGCCCACAUGAAAACCCUAGGCAAACCCAUUAUCCAGAGUUACAAUUUUUACGCUUUGAGCUGUGAGUCACAGACUGUGACGUUGUGGGCCAGAUAAAAAGAGCAAAUGGAUGACGUGUUAGAGCUAUACCAGUGUCGAAGAUCUGAAAAAAAAUUUCCAUGGCCACCGCUUCCUUCUGUCGUAUAUGACUCAGUGAACCUCUCCACUUAUCUGUUACACUUGGUAAACCUUCCACCCUAUUGAUUCAUCUGCUUGAAGAUGUUUCAUCAUUGUUGCUCACUGAAAGCAGCAGCAACAACUACCUUGAUUUAAUAAAGUGACAUAGCGGUUUGUGGAGGAGGCACUACAAGAGCACGGAGGAGAGAAGAGGAUAUUUCCAAACGCAAGAAAGUGAUUCUGAAAAAAAAAAA